GAUGGCGACCGGCGCACGGGUGAGUAACACGUAUCCAACCUGCCGUCUACUCUUGGACAGCCUUCUGAAAGGAAGAUUAAUACAAGAUGGCAUCAUGAGUCCGCAUGUUCACAUGAUUAAAGGUAUUCCGGUAGACGAUGGGGAUGCGUUCCAUUAGAUAGUAGGCGGGGUGACGGCCCACCUAGUCUUCGAUGGAUAGGGGUUCUGAGAGGAAGGUCCCCCACAUUGGAACUGAGACACGGUCCAAACUCCUACGGGAGGCAGCAGUGAGGAAUAUUGGUCAAUGGGCGAGAGCCUGAACCAGCCAAGUAGCGUGAAGGAUGACUGCCCUAUGGGUUGUAAACUUCUUUUAUAAAGGAAUAAAGUCGGGUAUGCAUACCCGUUUGCAUGUACUUUAUGAAUAAGGAUCGGCUAACUCCGUGCCAGCAGCCGCGGUAAUAC
rnacentral:rRNA from 1 species